GUGGAUCUCUUAGCGAGAGAUUAUAGUUUGGGAAGAAUGUCAACACCACACUCCCAGCAUGCAAAGUGGUGAGGCAGGUUCCUAUAACCGCAUGCUCAUACUGCAAGAAUCGUGUAUCAAGGAGAGACACUCUAGCUGUAACUGGAAGACCUCGUCUCCCAUGUAGACUGAGGAUAAGUCGUACAGCUCCAAAGUGAAGAUGAGAAAACCCUUCUUGUCUCCAUCUAGGAAUGAGUUGAAGAGGGAUUUCUAAAGUCACAUAUUGUUCAGCAGUGAACUCUGGAGAGAGCAUUGAUCCAUUCUGGAGGCCUGAACAUAUUC
rnacentral:misc_RNA from 1 species